rnacentral:rRNA from 1 species
CCGACCUGGCUCACACCGGUUUAAACUCAGAUCAUGUAAAAUUUCAAAGGUCGAACAGACCCAAUUUAUUAGCUUCUUCACCAAUAAUUUAUUUUAAUCCAACAUCGAGGUCGCAAUCUUUUUUUUCGAUAAGAACUCUAUAAAAAAUUACGCUGUUAUCCCUAAGGUAAUUUUAUCUUUUAAUCUUAACUCUGGAUCAAACACUUACACAUAAAUAUUUAAAGUUUCAAAAAGUUUCUUAAAUUUUUUUAUCACCCCAACAAAACAAAUAAAAUUUCUUUUAAAUAAAAAUUCCUAAAUGCCAAAAAUUAUUUAAUUUGUAAAACUCUAUAGGGUCUUCUCGUCUUCAAUUUAAAUCUAAGCCUUUUUACUUAAAAAUAAAAUUCUAAUAAAUUUUAAUAGAGACAGCUGCUUUCUCAUUAAACCUUUCAUUCCAGCUCUCAAUUAAAAAACUAAUGAUUAUGCUACCUUCGCACGGUCAAUAUACCGCGGCCAUUCAAAUC